rnacentral:rRNA from 1 species
AACGAACGCUGGCGGCGUGCCUAAUACAUGCAAGUCGAGCGGUAAGGCUUUCACAGUUUGUUUAAUCCUGCUAUGGCAGGACGCGGGAACUUUUCUUUAGAAAAGUUAGCCGUAUCAAUCACGAAGUGAUUGAAUGUCUGGCAGAGCUCCUUCUACAUGAGUGUAGAAGGAGCAGAUUGAACAAGGUGUGAAAGUACACGAGCGGCGGACGGCUGAGUAACGCGUAGGAACGUACCCCAAAGUGAGGGAUAAGCUCCGGAAACGGAGUCUAAUACCGCAUGUGAUCUUCGGAUUAAAGC